rnacentral:rRNA from 1 species
GGGACUGGGUUGCGUCUUUUUGCGCUGCGCUGCUACACAUGCAGUCGAACGGGGGCAGAUUGAACCUAGUGAUAUCUGCCCGAGUGGCGGACGGGUGAGUAACGCGUGGACAACCUGCCGCAUGCAGGGGGAUACCGGCUGGAAACAGCCGCUAAUACCGCAUAUGCGCACGGCGCCGCAUGGCGCCGCGCGGAAAGGGAGCGAUUCCGGCAUGCGAUGGGUCCGCGUCCGAUUAGCUUGUUGGCGGGGCAGCGGCCCACCAAGGCGACGAUCGGUAGCCGGCCUGAGAGGGCGGACGGCCACAUUGGGACUGAGACACGGCCCAAACUCCUACGGGAGGCAGCAGUGGGGAAUAUUGCACAAUGGGGGAAACCCUGAUGCAGCAACGCCGCGUGAGUGAAGAAGUAUUUCGGUAUGUAAAGCUCUAUCAGCAGGGAAGAAAAUGACGGUACCUGAGUAAGAAGCCCCGGCUAACUACGUGCCAGCAGCCGCGGUAAUACGUAGGGGGCAAGCGUUAUCCGGAUUCACUGGGUGUAAAGGGAGCGUAGACGGCCAUGCAAGCCAGGGGUGAAAGCCCGGGGCCCAACCGCGGAACUGCUUUGGGAACUGUUUAUCUUGAGUGAAGUAGAGGUAGGCGGAAUUCCCGGUGUAGCGGUGAAAUGCGUAGAGAUCGGGAGGAACACCAGUGGCGAAGGCGGCUCUCUGGUCUGCAACUGACGCUGAGGCUCGAAAGCAUGGGUAGCGAACAGGAUUAGAUACCCUGGUAGUCCAUGCCGUAAACGAUGAGUGCUAAGUGUUGG